CAUAGCUAAAUUAUCCUUUGCUUGCUACUGUUUUGGAAGAUUUGGUGCCAUUUAUGUACAAUUUCUUUCAUCUUCCAAACACAGCUACAGGGAGAUCCAAAAUUACAUCCAAUGUGAGGUUACGGUGUGAUUAAACAAAUAAAUGUUCCCUUUGCUUCUUUGCUUAAUUGUCCAAAGUGAAGUCUCAGUUGACUUGGCUUUCUGAUCCUUUUGAGAUCUCGGCUUUUCUUCAAUCGUUCAAAGUUCUUGCUUUUUCCCUUGACUGCCCCUGAGGAUAUUCCCCUUCCCUAACUUCUGUUUUGGGUUUGGUGCAGGUAUCUUAAGUAAAUCCAAGUAACAUGAAUUCCACUAUUGCAAUCCAGGAUGUUAUGCCUUUCAUUGUGAUCAUUAUUGCAACAUAGCUUAACCACAGACAAAUGGGAAAUGCUGUUUCAACAUUACAAUUGUUCUUUGUGGGUAUGAGCCUAUAUAAAAGCAACAGACAAGGUGAAUUGAGGUUUAAAAGUCUGCAUUCUUAAAAGUAAGACAGCUGAGCAGCAUUUGGACUCAGUAUGGGACGAAUAUUCCUUUGGGGAGGUUUUGCCAUCUUGCUGUUUCUUCAGAGCAGUUUUGCUUUCAAAGUGGUUUGCUAUUUCACCAACUGGGCUCAGUAUAGACCAAACAAAGGGUGAUUCCUUCCUCGUGACAUUGACCCUAAUGUGUGCACUCAUCUCAUUUACGCAUUUGCGGGAAUGAAAGGAAACGAGAUUGCAACUCUGGAAUGGAACGAUGUGGACCUCUACAAGGAAUUCAAUGAUCUCAAAAAGAAGUACGGAGAAUGCUAGGAUAAAAUGAGGACUGGGAUGUCACAUUGCAUGAGUUCACCAGUAUUCUGAUAUUUAGGGAAUUGAUAUGAAAACAGUUGCUAGCUUAAUGAGAUCUGAAGAAAAAAAUGUAGUCCAGCCAACUCUCACAUGUAAUGCAAUGAGAUCCUAUUGUCAAGGCCAGCCUUACUGUUAGUCAUAGUGAAGAUAGUUUCUUGUAGAAGUUAAUUUU
rnacentral:lncRNA from 1 species